AGCGAACGCUGGCGGCAGGCUUAACACAUGCAAGUCGAGCGGGCGUAGCAAUACGUCAGCGGCAGACGGGUGAGUAACGCGUGGGGACAUACCUUUUGGUUCGGAACAACACAGGGAAACUUGUGCUAAUACCGAAUAAGCCCUUACGGGGAAAGAUUUAUCGCCGAAAGAUUGGCCCGCGUCUGAUUAGCUAGUUGGUG
rnacentral:rRNA from 1 species